GCAGGUCAUGCCGGGUAGUCAC
rnacentral:miRNA from 1 species